AGUGAACGCUGGCGGUAGGCCUAACGCAUGCAAGUCGAACGGCAGCACAGUAAGAGCUUGCUCUUACGGGUGGCGAGUGGCGGACGGGUGAGGAAUACAUCGGAAUCUACUUUUUCGUGGGGGAUAACGUAGGGAAACUUACGCUAAUACCGCAUACGACCUACGGGUGAGAGCAGGGGAUCUUCGGACCUUGCGCGAUUGAAUGAGCCGAUGUCGGAUUAGCUAGUUGGCGGGGUAAAGGCCCACCAAGGCGACGAUCCGUAGCUGGUCUGAGAGGAUGAUCAGCCACACUGGAACUGAGACACGGUCCAGACUCCUACGGGAGGCAGCAGUGGGGAAUAUUGGACAAUGGGCGCAAGCCUGAUCCAGCCAUACCGCGUGGGUGAAGAAGGCCUUCGGGUUGUAAAGCCCUUUUGUUGGGAAAGAAAAGCAGCAGGUUAAUACCCCGCUGUUCUGACGGUACCCAAAGAAUAAGCACCGGCUAACUUCGUG
rnacentral:rRNA from 1 species